rnacentral:rRNA from 1 species
UACGAGGGGUGCAAGCGUUGCUCGGAAUUAUUGGGCGUAAAGGGCAGGUAGGUGGUCCUAUUUGUCUGGGGUGAAAUCCUUGAGCUUAACUCAAGAAGUGCCCCGGAAACGGUAGGACUCGAGUACUGGAGAGGGUCGUGGAAUUCCCGGUGUAGCGGUGAAAUGCGUAGAGAUCGGGAGGAACACCAGAGGCGAAGGCGGCGACCUGGACAGUCACUGACACUCAACUGCGAAAGCGUGGGGAGCAAACAGG